GACGAACGCUGGCGGCGUGCUUAACACAUGCAAGUCGAGCGGAAAGGCCACUUCGGUGGUACUCGAGCGGCGAACGGGUGAGUAACACGUGAGUAAUCUGCCCUUGGCUUUGGGAUAGCCACCGGAAACGGUGAUUAAUACCGGAUACGACCACUUCUCGCAUGGGAUGGUGGUGGAAAGUUCCGGCGGUGCAGGAUGAGCUCGCGGCCUAUCAGCUUGUUGGUGGGGUAAUGGCCCACCAAGGCUUCGACGGGUAGCCGGCCUGAGAGGGUGACCGGCCACACUGGGACUGAGACACGGCCCAGACUCCUACGGGAGGCAGCAGUGGGGAAUAUUGGACAAUGGGCGAAAGCCUGAUCCAGCAACGCCGCGUGAGGGAUGACGGCCUUCGGGUUGUAAACCUCUUUCAGCAGGGACGAAGCGCAAGUGACGGUACCUGCAGAAGAAGCACCGGCCAACUACGUGCCAGCCGCCGCCGUAAAAC
rnacentral:rRNA from 1 species